ensembl:lncRNA
ACGCACAAACAAAUGGAUUACCACUUGUCUGCAGAAAGCUAUGGCUCAAAAUACUGUGUCCAGGGAUUUUCAAAAUUACCCUCUUGCUGAGUUCAGUCACAGUAAAUACUUGAAAAAUCAUAACUGGUUUUCUGAGAUGCCCUAAGGCUGGCCAGGGAAGCACUCCAUCUUGAUUUUCAUGAUGGUAACUCUCCUAUUAUUAACUUUGUGCAAGGUAUCGCAUUUUUGAAUAAGAAGGAGAAAGCCAAAAGGAAGCUGAAACUCUUGUGCGGAAAUAGCAGAAGCUGUUAUCAUGGUGCAUUAUUUCCAAGCUGCCCUGUGGUGGCUUAGAUGGGCCUCGUCAUUUGUUAAAACAACAACAAAAAAAAAAAAACAAAAAAAAAAAACAUUACAAACACUAAGCACUCCUGUUUUCUCCUUGCAAGGCACUGUCAUUUUCAGGACAUGAACAUUUGCUCAGUCAGGCUCUCUCAUUCUCUUCCUUGACUUCCACUUUAGUGAUACUGUCAUUUUGGAAACAUUUGCUCACCAACCACCCUUCUCUGCUCUUCCUCCUUCUGUCUUCCAACGAUUCUCUUCUCACAGCCUCCUCCUCCUCCUUGUCUUCCUCCUUCUCCUACACACAGAGAAGAUAACGUGCAGCAGUUUCAGUCUUGGCUGUGUAACGACUUAGCACACCCAUUUGCGCCUUUUAUAUUCAUGCCAUGCACCUCAAAUAGCAUCGAGAAUUACAUCCUGUAGCCUCAGCGAAAAAAGGAAAAGAGCAAUACAGAAAGUGCUACAAAAACAUACAGUAUCAUAGCUCAAAGUAUUAAAAUGCAGCCAAAAUAUAAAUCCCUCUAAUGAUACCACGGGGGAUAAAAAGUACUACAAGGUCAGUAAACUCAGACACAUUAGCCUAUAAAUCCCCGCAGAAAUAUCAUAGUGAUUUCUCCACAGGCACCCUAAGAACCACUACAUUCUUGGCAGCACAAGCCGGACGCAUGCUCCUUAAAUCAUUUUAACAAAGGACUAUAUUCAUUCCACCUUUGUGUAAUGUGGAAAGCAAUAAAAUC